rnacentral:snRNA from 1 species
AUCGCUUCUCGGCCUUUUGGCUAAGAUCAAGUGUAGUAUCUGUUCUUAUCAGUUUAAAAGAUUUUAUUUAUUUAUUUAUUUAUUUGAGAGAGAGAGAGAGAGAGAGAGAGAAAGAGACAGCAU